GACAGAGGCCCCAAGCGUUAGGCGGAAUCACUGGGCUUAAAGCGUGUGUAGGCGGAUCGUUAAGUACCUUGUGAAAUCCCACGGCUCAACCGUGGAACUGCUGGGUAUACUGGCGAUCUUGAGCCACCUAGGGGCGAGCGGAACAACGGUGGAGCGGUGAAAUGCGUAGAUAUUGUUUGGAACGCCAACGGUGAAAACAGCUCGCUGGGGGUGUGCUGACGCUGAGACACGAAAGCCAGGGGAGCGAACGGG
rnacentral:rRNA from 1 species